GAUGAAGAACGUAGCGAAAUGCGAUACGUAGUGUGAAUUGCAGAAUUCCGUGAACCAUCAAAUCUUUGAACGCAUAUUGCGCUCGAGGCUUCGGCCGAGAGCAUGUCUGCCUCAGCGUCGGUAUUACCCAUCGCUUCUCAACCCCUGGUUGAUGCCUGCCUGCCUUUGCAGUUGGCUAGAAGCGGAUCUGGCUUUCCCAAUUGCCUUUGGUAGUUGGGUCAGCUGAAGCACAGAGGCUUGAGCAAGGACCCUUAUUGGGCUUCAACUGGAUAGGUAGAACUGGUCUUAGGACCAACUACACGAAGUUGUUGCUUGUGGUCUUUGUCUGGAGGCCAGCAGGAAACCUUUAUACCUUCGACCUGAGCUCAGGCAAGAUUACCCGCUGAACUUAAGCAUAUCAAUAAGCGGAGGA
rnacentral:misc_RNA from 1 species